GGGUUGUGAGGUUAAGCGACUAAGCGUACACGGUGGAUGCCCUGGCAGUCAGAGGCGAUGAAGGACGUGCUAAUCUGCGAAAAGCGCCGGCGAGGUGAUAUGAACCUUUGACCCGGCGAUGUCCGAAUGGGGAAACCCAGUGUGUUCCGACACACUAUCGUUAACUGAAUACAUAGGUUAACGAGGCGAACCGGGGGAACUGAAACAUCUAAGUACCCCGAGGAAAAGAAAUCAACCGAGAUUCCCCCAGUAGCGGCGAGCGAACGGGGAGCAGCCCAGAGUCUGAAUCAGCUUGUGUGUUAGUGGAAGCGUCUGGAAAGUCGCACGGUACAGGGUGACAGUCCCGUACACGAAAAUGCACAGGUUGUGAACUCGAAGAGUAGGGCGGGACACGUGGUAUCCUGUCUGAAUAUGGGGGGACCAUCCUCCAAGGCUAAAUACUCCUGACUGACCGAUAGUGAACCAGUACCGUGAGGGAAAGGCGAAAAGAACCCCGGCGAGGGGAGUGAAAAAGAACCUGAAACCGUGUACGUACAAGCAGUGGGAGCACCUUCGUGGUGUGACUGCGUACCUUUUGUAUAAUGGGUCAGCGACUUAUAUUCUGUAGCAAGGUUAACCGUAUAGGGGAGCCGAAGGGAAACCGAGUCUUAACUGGGCGUUAAGUUGCAGGGUAUAGACCCGAAACCCGGUGAUCUAGCCAUGGGCAGGUUGAAGGUUGGGUAACACUAACUGGAGGACCGAACCGACUAAUGUUGAAAAAUUAGCGGAUGACUUGUGGCUGGGGGUGAAAGGCCAAUCAAACCGGGAGAUAGCUGGUUCUCCCCGAAAGCUAUUUAGGUAGCGCCUCGUGAACUCAUCUUCGGGGGUAGAGCACUGUUUCGGCUAGGGGGCCAUCCCGGCUUACCAACCCGAUGCAAACUACGAAUACCGAAGAAUGUUAUCACGGGAGACACACGGCGGGUGCUAACGUCCGUCGUGAAGAGGGAAACAACCCAGACCGCCAGCUAAGGUCCCAAAGUCAUGGUUAAGUGGGAAACGAUGUGGGAAGGCACAGACAGCCAGGAUGUUGGCUUAGAAGCAGCCAUCAUUUAAAGAAAGCGUAAUAGCUCACUGGUCGAGUCGGCCUGCGCGGAAGAUGUAACGGGGCUAAACCAUGCACCGAAGCUGCGGCAGCGACGCUUAUGCGUUGUUGGGUAGGGGAGCGUUCUGUAAGCCGUUGAAGGUGGCCUGUGAGGGUUGCUGGAGGUAUCAGAAGUGCGAAUGCUGACAUAAGUAACGAUAAAGCGGGUGAAAAGCCCGCUCGCCGGAAGACCAAGGGUUCCUGUCCAACGUUAAUCGGGGCAGGGUGAGUCGACCCCUAAGGCGAGGCCGAAAGGCGUAGUCGAUGGGAAACAGGUUAAUAUUCCUGUACUUGGUGUUACUGCGAAGGGGGGACGGAGAAGGCUAUGUUAGCCGGGCGACGGUUGUCCCGGUUUAAGCAUGUAGGCGGAACGAUUAGGUAAAUCCGGUCGUUUUUUAACGCUGAGGUGUGAUGACGAGGCACUACGGUGCUGAAGUAACAAAUGCCCUGCUUCCAGGAAAAGCCUCUAAGCAUCAGGUAACAUCAAAUCGUACCCCAAACCGACACAGGUGGUCAGGUAGAGAAUACCAAGGCGCUUGAGAGAACUCGGGUGAAGGAACUAGGCAAAAUGGUGCCGUAACUUCGGGAGAAGGCACGCUGAUAUGUAGGUGAAGCCCCUGCGGGUGGAGCUGAAAUCAGUCGAAGAUACCAGCUGGCUGCAACUGUUUAUUAAAAACACAGCACUGUGCAAACACGAAAGUGGACGUAUACGGUGUGACGCCUGCCCGGUGCCGGAAGGUUAAUUGAUGGGGUUAGCGGUAACGCGAAGCUCUUGAUCGAAGCCCCGGUAAACGGCGGCCGUAACUAUAACGGUCCUAAGGUAGCGAAAUUCCUUGUCGGGUAAGUUCCGACCUGCACGAAUGGCGUAAUGAUGGCCAGGCUGUCUCCACCCGAGACUCAGUGAAAUUGAACUCGCUGUGAAGAUGCAGUGUACCCGCGGCAAGACGGAAAGACCCCGUGAACCUUUACUAUAGCUUGACACUGAACACUGGUCCUUGAUGUGUAGGAUAGGUGGGAGGCUUUGAAGUGUGGACGCCAGUCUGCAUGGAGCCGUCCUUGAAAUACCACCCUUUAAUGGCUGGUGUUCUAACGUAGACCCGUGAUCCGGGUUGCGGACAGUGUCUGGUGGGUAGUUUGACUGGGGCGGUCUCCUCCCAAAGAGUAACGGAGGAGCACGAAGGUUAGCUAAUCCUGGUCGGACAUCAGGAGGUUAGUGCAAUGGCAUAAGCUAGCUUGACUGCGAGAGUGACGGCUCGAGCAGGUGCGAAAGCAGGUCAUAGUGAUCCGGUGGUUCUGAAUGGAAGGGCCAUCGCUCAACGGAUAAAAGGUACUCCGGGGAUAACAGGCUGAUACCGCCCAAGAGUUCAUAUCGACGGCGGUGUUUGGCACCUCGAUGUCGGCUCAUCACAUCCUGGGGCUGAAGUAGGUCCCAAGGGUAUGGCUGUUCGCCAUUUAAAGUGGUACGCGAGCUGGGUUUAGAACGUCGUGAGACAGUUCGGUCCCUAUCUGCCGUGGGCGCUGGAGAAUUGAGGGGGGCUGCUCCUAGUACGAGAGGACCGGAGUGGACGCAUCACUGGUGUUCGGGUUGUCAUGCCAAUGGCACUGCCCGGUAGCUAAAUGCGGAAAAGAUAAGUGCUGAAAGCAUCUAAGCACGAAACUUGCCCCGAGAUGAGUUCUCCCUGAGACUUUAAGUCUCCUGAAGGAACGUUGAAGACGACGACGUUGAUAGGUCGGGUGUGUAAGCGCAGCGAUGCGUUGAGCUAACCGAUACUAAUGAACCGUGAGGCUUAACCUUACAACGCCGAAGGUGUUU
rnacentral:rRNA from 2 species